UUGCUUUGGCAGCAUAUAUUCUAAAAUUGGAACAAUACAAAGAUUAAUUAGCAUGAACCCUACCCAAGGAUGACACAAAAAUUCGUGAAGCCCAGAAUUUUAGA